AACAAGAGGGCACAAAAAUGCUUAUCGCGUAAUUAAAUCAAAUUUACAUAAAAAAUAACAUCCUAAACAAUAUAAUUUAAAAAACUAAAAAGAAAACUUACCUUUCUUAGCCACCUCCUUCCGAGAAAUGAAGAUCAAAACCUCCACCCUUGUAUUUUGACCUGUUGAAAAGUUAGUAAAUUAAUUGAAAUAUUGUCUACGAAUAUUUGUUAUCAAAAAUAAAAGAACACCUAACAAUUAAAUCAAAUUGGAAAAGUAAAACAAGUAUCAAAAAUAAAGACAAAACCCUAAAUAUGUAUCUUUAUAUCACUAAAAUAAAUUUGACAAGGUACAAAAAAAAUAUAUCUUUAUAUUACUAAAAAAUAUUUGAGAAGGAAACAUGGAAAUGGUGAGAGGAGAUGCAACAUCUUAAGCAACCUCAUACAUGAAAAAUGCUUAUCGCAUAAUUAAAUCAAAUUUACAUAAAAAUAACAUCCUAAACAAUAUAAUUUAAAAAACUAAAAAGAAAACCUAUCUUUCUCUCUUCCCA
rnacentral:lncRNA from 1 species